rnacentral:misc_RNA from 1 species
AGGGACUGGCAGAGGAUGGAGAUCUAAUAUCCGUUGAUUCUGACAUAACAGGCGGCGCCUUUUUUACACACAUUGUAUCACUUGUCGAUUCCCGUUUAUGACUUAACACUGUGCUCGCAUUUCGAUACAUACGCAGUAUACACGUGGGAGUGUUCUCACGCGUCUUGCAAUAGUCAGCUUAUUAUCGCGAAAUCGCCUUCGUACGCCGUUUUCCUCGCGAACAACCAUCCUUCACGCAAGAAUCCAAAGCCCAGGCUCGCUCGCGAGAGACAUUUUUUCUAAACGUCCAUCGAUUGUCUUCGCGGAAUGUCAAGUCCCGACCGAGUCUACACCGGAAGUAGCGCGCGUGCGGUGCGGUGCGGUGCGGUGUAUGUGACGCAACGUCUCGCGCUCAAUUUUGCAUUUCUCGGUACGAUGAUUCGUCGAGAUACACGACACCACGUGUGUGCGUGCGUGUGCCAUCGUGAUUCAUUCGCCAGCGGCGCCAAUCGGAUGCCGGAUACGUACCGGGCUCUCUCCUCUCAUCGUCGGCCGUUUAUUGGAGCCAGUAGUCUACCAGCCAUAGUCGCGCGCAUGGUACGCGUCGGCACACGUUUUUCCACACAUUUCGCAGAGCCACCUCGACCGAGCGGAGAGCGAGCGAGCGAGCGGCCGGCCGGCCGGCCGGCCGGCCAUCCGCUCGCCCGACAAAUAGGCUGUCAUCGUGUCGCCUGGGUAGCUGCUCGGAGCGUGCGACAUCGCGACUCCAAUGAAGUCAUCCCUCGUAUUCCCCUACACCUACACCGACGCGACGCGACGCCGACGACGGUGCGCCUGCUGAUUCCCCUCGCUCUUCGACCACCCGCCACGCUGCACGGUCGAGGACUUUCUGACGCCUGGACGUGCCGAAGUCCUCCCGAGCGCGAGCCGAGCGCGGCCGAGAACGGCCGAAGCGGCGAGGCCGCGCGCGCACGACCAUGUGGCGAUAGCGCUAUGACAGAAGCGCGCUGUCAGUGUCACUGCGACUAUCGUCCGACGUGGUUACGCGCGGCAGUUUCACCGUCGCGCACUCUUCUCGUCGCUCGUUUUUUCCUGUUAUUUCCCUCCCCGUUGCCUUUGCCUGCCGCCGACUCCGCGUUCUUUCCGUAUCUCCUCUCUCGAAGCGGCGUAUCGAACUUCUCGAGCCCGCAAGGUCGACGACGGCGGCGACGUUUCCUAGCACGCGCUCACGCUCGCGCUCGCGCUCGCGCUCGCGUGUGACGUCAAGACGAUUGUCAGAAACGCGCUUCGGAGCGUGGCUCGCUUGGUUUCUGUGAAAGGAAACGCGAUCAGUUCGGGUUAGGUCACUGGAGCCCGCCGAUAGUUUCACGAACGGGUGUACGAAGGCCGUCCGUCUGUCCGCCGCUCGUUGUCGAGGCGUUCUUCGCUCGAGCUGGUAUCUCUGGACGGGUUGCACAGUGGAGUUCCGACCAGGACGACGCCGACGCUGACGCCGACCACGCUCCGCAGCAUCGAACAGACCUUCUUGGAGUUGACGAGCGAAUCAGCGUCGCACAGUCGCGAGGCCGGUUUCGUGCCGCCGCUGGUUGAGCCGUCGCAGCCGACCCCGG